rnacentral:lncRNA from 1 species
GUCAGGGUUUGGGGGCCAGGCCUGCCCUCUGGUGCUUUCGGCUCCUCGGGCCCCCGACUUUAAAGUGCUCAAGUUGGGGUCGGCGCCAUCAUGACGCCUGAGACUGUGAGAAGAAAAUGUUAGUUACAAUUGAUAGAAGAACUAACUCACUCAAGAGCCUGAAGAAAGGAACAGAGCUUCUAGUAUGAGAUGCUGAGACCGUCUCACUGUGAAGGGAUAGGCCAGCAUGAGCCGGAAUCAACUGUCUCAUCGGAAUAUGUAUUUUAGCAACUGACUCCUCUAUGAAAGCAACAGUAAAUUAACGGAGUUCAUAGUCCAACAGCUCAAGAUUCUAUCAGUAAUUAGUUGUUGUGAUAUAUUCAUUGACUUGACUGUCCUGAAGCUCGAUUCUGAGUGUGUUCUUCAGGUUGCUUGAGGAAAGGCUAAGAUCUGAGUCAGUGGGCAUUAUGGCUGAUGCUCGGAUAUCAUCUGUAACCCUAUUCCCUUGACAAUGAAUCACACCAAAUUCAAUUAAAAUCUGGCCCAAAUAAGAAGGAGCCUGAAAGUUACCCUCUACAUGAAAAACAAAUCAGGAACUCAGUAGGGAAAGACGCUUGCCUCCUAACCUGACCACCAGGGUUCUAUCCCCUAGGCCAGCAUGGUUGAUGAAAAGACAAACUCCCAUAAGGUCUCCUCUGGCUUCCACACUGUCCUUGGGGUCUGCAUCUGGCCAUACAUACACACGUUACCAAAUUCAAUCUUUCAUUAAUAAAGUUCAUCAAUAAAAGAA